GGAAAGGAUAUUGUAUUUCCUAGGCCUUGAAAAGUGCUUGGGAUAUGUUACAUUUUUUUCUCAAAUAUUUGAAGAAGACUGGGUAAAUGGAUAUAAGCCCUUAAGAGAUACAGAGUGAGUUAGUACAGCAGGAGGGAGCCCUUGUAGGCUUACAGGCUUCUCUAAGGGCCUCUUCUCCUGGGGUGGGGUGGGCAAUGGUAGCUCCUUGUAACGCCCGGUCCUUCCUUCUAAGGGGUUUGUGAGGGCAGGAAAGAGAACAGACCAAUGUGGGGACCAUUACUUCUUACCACAAAGUGAAGAAGGCCCUGCCUUGCUCCACGUUUACACAUCGCACGGGCAACGGAAGAAACCAAAGUCCCACCUCUGAGGGUUCACUUUCUGGGGCCACAGAAUGAGAAUGAGAAGAAACUUAGGAAACCUCCCAGCCAGAAUCCUAGAGGGACAAAAAAGGGGCAUUUCUCAGUGUCCUUCUGGCCAGUGAUGGAAGUCUCGGGGUCUGGGGGCCAAUCCCUGCCCUGCAGAAUGAGGAGGAAGCUUCUCUGAUGGCGGCUGAACAAGGCACUGAGCUA
rnacentral:lncRNA from 1 species